UGGGGAAUAUUGGACAAUGGGCGCAAGCCUGAUCCAGCAAUGCCGCGUGUGUGAAGAAGGCCUUCGGGUUGUAAAGCACUUUUAUCAGGAGCGAAACUACUGUCGGCUAAUACCCGGCGGAACUGACGGUACCUGAGGAAUAAGCACCGGCUAACUUCGUGCCAGCAGCCGCGGUAAUACGAAGGGUGCAAGCGUUAAUCGGAAUUACUGGGCGUAAAGCGUGCGUAGGCGGUUUGUUAAGUCUGUUGUGAAAUCCCCGGGCUCAACCUGGGAAUGGCAAUGGAUACUGGCAAGCUAGAGUGUGUCAGAGGAUGGUGGAAUUCCCGGUGUAGCGGUGAAAUGCGUAGAGAUCGGGAGGAACAUCAGUGGCGAAGGCGGCCAUCUGGGACAACACUGACGCUGAGGCACGAAAGCGUGGGGAGCAAACA
rnacentral:rRNA from 1 species